rnacentral:rRNA from 1 species
AUUGAACGCUGGCGGCAGGCCUAACACAUGCAAGUCGAGCGGAUGAGGAAAGCUUGCUUUUCGAUUCAGCGGCGGACGGGUGAGUAAUGCCUAGGAAUCUGCCUGUUAGUGGGGGAUAACUCGGGGAAACUCGGGCUAAUACCGCAUACGUCCUACGGAGAAAGUGGGGGAUCUUCGGACCUCACGCUAACAGAUGAGCCUAGGUCGGAUUAGCUAGUAGGUGAGGCAAUGGCUCACCUAGGCGACGAUCCGUAACUGGUCUGAGAGGAUGAUCAGUCACACUGGGACGGAGACACGGUCCAGACUCCUACGGGAGGCAGCAGUGGGGAAUAUUGGACAAUGGGCGAAAGCCUGAUCCAGCCAUGCCGCGUGUGUGAAGAAGGUCUUCGGAUUGUAAAGCACUUUAAGUUGGGAGGAAGGGUAUUCACCUAAUACGUGGGUACUUUGACGUUACCAACAGAAUAAGCACCGGCUAACUCUGUGCCAGCCGCCGCCGUAAGAC